rnacentral:rRNA from 1 species
AGUGAACGCUGGCGGUAGGCCUAACACAUGCAAGUCGAACGGCAGCACAGUAAGAGCUUGCUCUUACGGGUGGCGAGUGGCGGACGGGUGGGGAAUACAUCGGAAUCUACUUUUUCGUGGGGGAUAACGUAGGGAAACUUACGCUAAUACCGCAUACGACCUACGGGUGAAAGCAGGGGAUCUUCGGACCUUGCGCGAUUGAAUGAGCCGAUGUCGGAUUAGCUAGUUGGCGGGGUAAAGGCCACCAAGGCGACGAUCCGUAGCUGGUCUGAGAGGAUGAUCAGCCACACUGGAACUGAGACACGGUCCAGACUCCUACGGGAGGCAGCAGUGGGGAAUAUUGGACAAUGGGCGCAAGCCUGAUCCAGCCAUACCGCGUGGGUGAAGAAGGCCUUCGGGUUGUAAAGCCCUUUUGUUGGGAAAGAAAAGCAGCAGGUUAAUACCCCGCUGUUCUGACGGUACCCAAAGAAUAAGCACCGGCUAACUUCGUG